CCUACGGGGGGCAGCAGUGAGGAAUAUUGGUCAAUGGCCGGAAGGCUGAACCAGCCAAGCCGCGUGAAGGACGAAGGUGCCAAGCAUUGUAAACUUCUUUUGUCAAGGGACAAAAUCAGGCUCGAGAGCCUGACCGAGGGUACUUGAAGAAAAAGCAUCGGCUAACUCCGUGCCAGCAGCCGCGGUAAUACGGAGAAUGCGAGCGUUAUCCGGUUUUUUUGGGUUUAAAGGGUGCGUAGGCGGACUGUUAAGUCAGCGGUAAAAGCCCGGGGCUCAAACCCGGCGAGCCGUUGAACCUGGCUGUGUUGAGAUGUCGAGAGGUAUGCGGAAUGCGCAGUGUAGCGGUGAAAUGCUUAGAUAUUGCGCAGAACUCCGAUUGCGAAGGCAGCAUACCGGCGGCGAUCUGACGCUGAGGCACGAAAGCGUGGGUAUCGAACAGGAUUAGAUAUCCUUGUAGUC
rnacentral:rRNA from 1 species